rnacentral:rRNA from 1 species
GACGUAGGGCGCGAGCGUGUCCGGAUUUAUUGGGCGUAAAGAGCUCGUAGGCGGCUUGUCGCGUCGACUGUGAAAUCCCGCGGCUCAACCGCGGGUCUGCAGUCGAUACGGGCAGGCUAGAGUUCGGUAGGGGAGACUGGAAUUCCUGGUGUAGCGGUGAAAUGCGCAGAUAUCAGGAGGAACACCGAUGCGAAGGCAGGUCUCUGGGCCGAUACUGACGCUGAGGAGCGAAAGCGUGGGGAGCGAACAGG